rnacentral:rRNA from 1 species
UACCCGCAGCUCAAGUGGUGGUCAUUAUUAUUGGGCCUAAAGCGUCCGUAGCUGGCUUGUUAGAUGCCUGGGUAAAUCGAUGCGCUUAACGCAUCGAAUUCCGGGUAGACCGGCAAGCUCGAGACCGGGAGAGGCGUGAGCUACUCAAGGGGUAGGGGUAAAAUCCUGUAAUCCUUUGGGGAGGACCAGUGGCGAAGGCGUCACGCUAGAACGGCUCUGACAGUGAGGGACGAAGCCCUGGGGCGCAAACGGG